GGUGUGCGAGUCCUCUGUAUGUGUGUGAAAAAUACAUCCCUCCAUGGCUUAAGGGGCUUUGAGGAACAGUGACCAGCAUCACUCACAGUGGAUCCCAUCCACCUGCAGCUCAGCAUAUUGAAUGGACCCUGUGACACAGUUUGUCAUUACUGUCAGUUCAGAGGGAAUAAAAUAAAAAGAAGGAGGAAGCCACGUUAACAGAAGGAACUCUUCAUCUGGAUGUCCUCUGACUCAACUCUCUCCACCAAGGACGGCCCAACUACAUAGGUAGACAAGAACUGCACACAGAAGGGGGACCUUUAAGGCCGGCAGUCUUACCCAAUGGUGUACAUAAACUUUGAGAAGCGUUGAAACCACCGGUCGGCCAUAUUGACAAUCCCCAUUAGGAGCAGUCCAUCAUAGGAAUGAAUGGAA
rnacentral:lncRNA from 13 species